rnacentral:rRNA from 1 species
UACGUAGGGUACAAGCGUUGUCCGGAAUUAUUGGGCGUAAAGAGCUCGUAGGCGGUUUGUCGCGUCUGCUGUGAAAACCCGAGGCUCAACCUCGGGCCUGCAGUGGGUACGGGCAGACUAGAGUGCGGUAGGGGAGAUUGGAAUUCCUGGUGUAGCGGUGGAAUGCGCAGAUAUCAGGAGGAACACCAAUGGCGAAGGCAGAUCUCUGGGCCGUAACUGACGCUGAGGAGCGAAAGCAUGGGGAGCGAACAGG